GACGAACGCUGGCGGCGUGCCUAAUACAUGCAAGUCGAACGCUGAAGGAGGAGCUUGCUUCUCUGGAUGAGUUGCGAACGGGUGAGUAACGCGUAGGUAACCUGCCUGGUAGCGGGGGAUAACUAUUGGAAACGAUAGCUAAUACCGCAUAAGAGUAGAUGUUGCAUGACAUUUGCUUAAAAGGUGCAAUUGCAUCACUACCAGAUGGACCUGCGUUGUAUUAGCUAGUUGGUGAGGUAACGGCUCACCAAGGCAACGAUACAUAGCCGACCGGAGAGGGGGAGCGGCCACACUGGGACUGAGACACGGCCCAGACUCCGACGGGAGGCAGCAGUAGGGAAUCUUCGGCAAGGGACGGAAGUCUGACCGAGCAACGCCGCGUGAGGGAAGAAGGUUUUCGGAGCGUAAAGCUCGGUUGUAAGAGAAGAACGAGUGUGAGAGUGGAAAGUUCACACUGUGACGGUAUCUUACCAGAAAGGGACGGCUAACUACGUG
rnacentral:rRNA from 1 species